AGCGAACGCUGGCGGCAGGCCUAACACAUGCAAGUCGAACGAACUCUUCGGAGUUAGUGGCGGACGGGUGAGUAACACGUGGGAACGUGCCUUUAGGUUCGGAAUAACUCAGGGAAACUUGUGCUAAUACCGAAUGUGCCCUUCGGGGGAAAGAUUUAUCGCCUUUAGAGCGGCCCGCGUCUGAUUAGCCAGUUGGUGAGGUAAAGGCUCACCAAGGCGACGAUCAGUAGCUGGUCUGAGAGGAUGAUCAGCCACAUUGGGACUGAGACACGGCCCAAACUCCUACGGGAGGCAGCAGUGGGGAAUCUUGCGCAAUGGGCGAAAGCCUGACGCAGCCAUGCCGCGUGAAUGAUGAAGGUCUUAGGAUUGUAAAAUUCUUUCACCGGGGACGAUAAUGACGGUACCCGGAGAAGAAGCCCCGGCUAACUUCGUG
rnacentral:rRNA from 1 species